UUACAAAUUAUUUUUUAUUAAAUUAUAAUUAUUAUUUUAUUAAUACAUUUAGUAUUGAUUUAUAAUUAAAGAAUGUGUUUUAGCGAAAUUAUUAUAAAUAUAUAUAGAUAAAAUUAAUAAUAUUUAAAUUAAAAAUAAUAAUAAUAUUUAAUUUAUUAAUAUAUAAAAUUAUCUAGAUUAAUUUUGGAUCAAACAAAAUUAGUAAAUAAAAAUAUUAUAUUUAGAUUUUGUGCCAGCAAUAGCGGUUACACAUUUUAAUACAGGUUAAUUAUAAUAAUUAUUUGAUUAAUAUAUUUAAUAGAAAGUUUAUUCAUAAAGAUUUAAAUUGUUUAAUAAUAGGUGAAAUUUAUAAUUAUUAAUUUAUUAAUUUAAGGUUAAUUAAUUUUAGUAUAAAAGUUAAAUAGGAUUAGAUACCCUAGUAAAUAAUACUUAAAAUAGUAAUAAUAAUGAAGAUUAAUAUAAUUAUAUAAAAUUAUUUAAUUUGGCGGUAUAAAUUAAUUAGGGAAAUUUGUUUAUUUAUAGAUAUUACACUUUAAUAAAAGUUAAUUUAAUUUUAUUUAUUGUUGUUAAAAUAAUAUUUAAAUUUUAUUGUUUGAUUUAAUUAAUAAUUGUAACAUUUAUAUGAUAGAUCAAUAUUUAAAUUAUAAUUAAUAAUAAAUUAAUUUAAUUUUUAGAUUAGAAAUUUUGUAUUUAAAUUUAUUUAAAAUUUAAAAGUAAAUUUGUAUUAUUUUUAUAAAUUGAAUUAUUGAUAAUUUAUAUGUUCAUAUUGCCCGUCAAUUCAUAUAUUAGAAUAAGUCGAAACAAAGUUAAUUAAUUGGAAAAUUAAUUUAAUAU
rnacentral:rRNA from 1 species